GACGAACGCUGGCGGCGUGCUUAACACAUGCAAGUCGAACGGAAAGGCCCCUUUGGGGGUACUCGAGUGGCGAACGGGUGAGUAACACGUGAGUAACCUUCCCUUGACUUCGGGAUAACUUCAGGAAACUGGGGCUAAUACCGGAUAGGAAUCCUUGCUGCAUGGUGGGGGUUGGAAAGCUUCGGCGGUUUUGGAUGGACUCGCGGCUUAUCAGCUUGUUGGUGGGGUAGUGGCUUACCAAGGCUUUGACGGGUAGCCGGCCUGAGAGGGCGACCGGCCACAUUGGGACUGAGAUACGGCCCAGACUCCUACGGGAGGAAGCAGUGGGGAAUAUUGCACAAUGGGCGGAAGCCUGAUGCAGCAACGCCGCGUGCGGGAUGACGGCCUUCGGGUUGUAAACCGCUUUCAGCAGGGGCGAAGCUUGUGGUGACGGUACCUGCAGAAGAAGCACCGGCUAACUACGUG
rnacentral:rRNA from 1 species